UGCUUAUAGAGAAAGGCAGAGGGAAUAGACCCGUUGAAGCCUUGGCAACCUGUCACUUGGACAAGGUGCUACAUUCUACUCUUACCCUUUACGGGAGCAAUAAGAGAAAGAUAAGCU
rnacentral:ncRNA from 1 species